rnacentral:rRNA from 1 species
AUUGAACGCUGGCGGCAGGCCUAACACAUGCAAGUCGAGCGGAUGAAGAGAGCUUGCUCUCUGAUUCAGCGGCGGACGGGUAAGUAAUGCCUAGGAAUCUGCCUGGUAGUGGGGGACAACGUUUCGAAAGGAACGCUAAUACCGCAUACGUCCUACGGGAGAAAGCAGGGGACCUUCGGGCCUUGCGCUAUCAGAUGAGCCUAGGUCGGAUUAGCUAGUAGGUGAGGUAAAGGCUCACCUAGGCGACGAUCCGUAACUGGUCUGAGAGGAUGAUCAGUCACACUGGAACUGAGACACGGUCCAGACUCCUACGGGAGGCAGCAGUGGGGAAUAUUGGACAAUGGGCGAAAGCCUGAUCCAGCCAUGCCGCGUGUGUGAAGAAGGUCUUCGGAUUGUAAAGCACUUUAAGUUGGGAGGAAGGGCAGUAAGUUAAUACCUUGUUGUUUUGACGUUACCAACAGAAUAAGCACCGGCUAACUUCGUGCCAGCAGCCGCGGUAAAAC